rnacentral:rRNA from 1 species
UACGGAGGGGGCUAGCGUUGUUCGGAAUUACUGGGCGUAAAGCGCUCGUAGGCGGCUUUGUAAGUUAGAGGUGAAAGCCCGGAGCUUAACUCCGGAACUGCCUUUAAGACUGCAUCGCUAGAAUUGUGGAGAGGUAAGUGGAAUUCCGAGUGUAGAGGUGAAAUUCGUAGAUAUUCGGAAGAACACCAGUGGCGAAGGCGACUUACUGGACACAUAUUGACGCUGAGGUGCGAAAGCGUGGGGAGCAAACAGG